GCGAGUGUAGUUUAAUGGUAGAACUUCAGCCUUCCAAGCUGACUGUGAGGGUUCGAUUCCCUUCGCUUGCACCA
rnacentral:tRNA from 3 species